rnacentral:rRNA from 1 species
CCUACGGGAGGCAGCAGUGGGGAAUCUUGCGCAAUGGGCGAAAGCCUGACGCAGCCAUGCCGCGUGAAUGAUGAAGGUCUUAGGAUUGUAAAAUUCUUUCACCGGGGACGAUAAUGACGGUACCCGGAGAAGAAGCCCCGGCUAACUUCGUGCCAGCAGCCGCGGUAAUACGAAGGGGGCUAGCGUUGCUCGGAAUUACUGGGCGUAAAGGGAGCGUAGGCGGAUAGUUUAGUCAGAGGUGAAAGCCCAGGGCUCAACCUUGGAAUUGCCUUUGAUACUGGCUAUCUUGAGUACGGAAGAGGUAUGUGGAACUCCGAGUGUAGAGGUGAAAUUCGUAGAUAUUCGGAAGAACACCAGUGGCGAAGGCGACAUACUGGUCCGUUACUGACGCUGAGGCUCGAAAGCGUGGGGAGCAAACAGGAUUAGAUACCCUGGUAGUCCACGCUGUAAACGAUGAGUGCUAGUUGUCGGCAUGCAUGCAUGUCGGUGACGCGAGCUACGACAUAAGUACACCUCCGCCGUCGGGGUAGGGUACGGGUCCGGCGAACGAAGUUAAAACGUUAACGUAAAGGUUAAAGUUAGUACGGUUCGUUGAGACGUUGCCGACGGACGACGACGAGGGGAGGAGG